UCUUAGUCGGUUUGACGUUUAUCGUCGGUGUCUAGAGCCUCGCCCUUAUCGCAUUCAUCCGUGCUGCUCCGCCAGGGGAGGGCCUCGGGCGUUCGCUUCCCUGGGACUCAGGCAUCUGGCGCACGAGCGGCGGUGGCGGUUAAGGAGGCGAGACCGACCAAGCCCUCGCCACAAGCGCAGGAUCCUACGGUGCGGAGGCCGACGCAUGGGAGGCCGAUGUUGACGCCCUGAUGACACAGAUCGGCUUCGGCUUUGUGAUCGUCUUCACCUCGCUCUCCGGCGUCGGCGCCGGCGUGCGCCAUGUGGUGUCGCUACCAGGGGCGAAGCUUCUGCUGUUCUGCAUGUGGCGUUCUUCGUUUCCUUUUACUGCUGGGGUCGCGAUGACUUCUUUUCCUCUUUUGAUUUGGGUGAGGCGAGUAUCGGUUUUGGUUCCCUUUCAGAGAAAACAAGUGGCGGCGCUGGUUCCUACUCUCAGAAGGCAUGGUGUCGUCGAUCUCUUCAGCGGGCGGGGAGUGUGGUGCUCAGUGCUCUUCUGCUGCGUGUUUGGUGCGUGCUUGGCUGCUUCUUCGUCGGGGUCAGACCUUCUGCUGCUGAUUUCUUCUGCCUCUGCAUCGAUUUCUUUGGGGGGAGGCUGUGAGCUGCGUCGGCUGGUGGGUUUGCAUCCCCUGCGUCCUUCUUCUGCCUGUUCAGAGGUUUGUGAUUGAUUUGGACCUUGCCUGUUAUGAACCAACCAAGCUAGUGUAUACUUCAAUUUCAGUCAGAAAGCUGUUACACCUUUCUGUUUCAGUAUGCACACAAGAGUUCACAUGUUUUUGUUUUUAAUUUGAAAAUAGUUAAAUAGUUAAAACAUUCCCCUGUAGAUCCAUAUUUUGUUCCUGAGUGGUUGAAUGUUUUCAUAAAUUACCACAAAUUUUUAAUAAGCGAAAUCAGGGUGUCUUUCUUUAUAUAGUUUGAUGGUGAGUUUAUUCAUAACAUUUGUACAAGUGUUGAACUUUACUAACGGUAGCUCGGCCCAGCAUAAGAAGAUUCAAUAUACAGAAGAUGGUUGCCAACAAGAGCUUGAUGGCGCGGUGGUUAAAAAUACAACCGACAUCUUAACUCUGUGAGCGCUGCUACACAGACGAGAAACGCCAGACGUUUUUCAGACGAUGCAUCAUAUCAAGCCGUGCAUGUGUAGAGCAAAACUGAACAACGCCGUUCAAUCCCACAUCGUCCAGCGUUCGGCCGGGGUGUUGUCGUCCGCAUAGUAGUUUCGUUCGUCUGUCUCGAUUGGUAUGAAACUAUGAAUACAGAGGUAUAUCAGUCCGCGGUUUAUGUAAUACAAGCAUAUGGGGGUUCCAUGCGGACAUAAGGAAUUCACGACGAUUAUUCUCUAUGUAAUUUGUUGAUAAUUUAUUGAGCAUAUAUAUUGAUUUAACAUCAUUUAGUGGAUAUGUCACCAGUCAAGAUAAUGCUGAAUUUAAGAGUUAGAAGUGAUGCUGAAGAAAUUAAGCCACUCGGGCUACCAUCGGUCCGGUGUCCUAUUGAGCAACACAUGUUGUCUUUUAAUGUAGGACACCUUAAUGGUAAUGUGAUAUCUCUCCAACAUAUAAGUUACUUUUAAUCGAUCAUCUAUUUGUUUGUAGUGGUUUCUUCGCCAUUUGAUAAUAUAAAACAUAUCCUGCAACACCACUCGAAGCACAAAAUAUGCAUUGCAGAGCCGUCUCCAUAGUCAAUGGCUACUUGUAUCUGUAUUUUUUUCUCAUCCAAUCCCUGAGUCAUUAAAAAAGUGAUUCUCACUCAUGAAUGUGAAAACACUUCAGGUUAGACUUGGUGUUACAAACUUAAAUCAUUGGUUAUGCUUAUCUAUUAUACAUUUUUUAGCUACAUUAUAAGUGAAAUGGAUGAUGAUUGCCUUCUGUCCGAAAAAAAGAUGAUUUAAAGCUGCAGUGUGGUUUCCUUUUUGGCUAAUUCAUUUUUGGCUUUGUACAUGAUGUUGAACUAUUUCCAAAGUCAUAUAAUUGAUGCUGAGGACGCCUCCAUUAUAAGUCAUAUAUAAGUGAAAUGGAUGAUGAUUGCCUUCUGUCCAAAAAAAGAUGAUUUAAAGCUGCAGUGUGGUUUCCUUUUUGGCUAAUUCAUUUUUGGCUUUGUACAUGAUGUUGAACUACUUCCAAAGUCAUAUAAUUGAUGCUGAGGGCGCCUCCAUUGAUGGGUGGCAGAGGUGUCUGAUGCGGCAAAGGUUGAUUUCCAUGCCUCCACCAAUGGAUGGAUGGUGACUUGAGGAUACAAGGCCAGAGGCCCAAAGCUACUAAGAUGAAGUUAUGGUACAGUUUGCAGUUUGCUUUAUGUUCCUUUUAUUUUAUUCAAUUGAGUGACAUUGAAAAAUCUGUUCCAUCGUAUCUCUUUAUGAUGGCAUGUUGUCCUUUCGGUUUCACUUCCUGUAAUGUCCGUAAGGUUAGUUUAAAGAGAUGGAGCAUUCUAUUCAGCUUUAAAAAGAAC
rnacentral:rRNA from 1 species